rnacentral:rRNA from 2 species
UUAAGCGACUAAGCGUACACGGUGGAUGCCCUGGCAGUCAGAGGCGAUGAAGGACGUGCUAAUCUGCGAAAAGCGUCGGUAAGGUGAUAUGAACCGUUAUAGCCGGCGAUGUCCGAAUGGGGAAACCCAGUGUGAUUCGUCACACUAUCGUUAACUGAAUACAUAGGUUAACGAGGCGAACCGGGGGAACUGAAACAUCUAAGUACCCCGAGGAAAAGAAAUCAACCGAGAUUCCCCCAGUAGCGGCGAGCGAACGGGGAGCAGCCCAGAGUCUGAAUCAGCUUGUGUGUUAGUGGAACGGUCUGGAAAGUCCGACGGUACAGGGUGAUAGUCCCGUACACCAAAAUGCACAGGUUGUGAACUCGAAGAGUAGGGCGGGACACGUGGUAUCCUGUCUGAAUAUGGGGGGACCAUCCUCCAAGGCUAAAUACUCCUGACUGACCGAUAGUGAACCAGUACCGUGAGGGAAAGGCGAAAAGAACCCCGGCGAGGGGAGUGAAAAAGAACCUGAAACCGUGUACGUACAAGCAGUGGGAGCACCUUCGGGUGUGACUGCGUACCUUUUGUAUAAUGGGUCAGCGACUUAUAUUCUGUAGCAAGGUUAACCGUAUAGGGGAGCCGCAGGGAAACCGAGUCUUAACUGGGCGUUAAGUUGCAGGGUAUAGACCCGAAACCCGGUGAUCUAGCCAUGGGCAGGUUGAAGGUUGGGUAACACUAACUGGAGGACCGAACCGACUAAUGUUGAAAAAUUAGCGGAUGACUUGUGGCUGGGGGUGAAAGGCCAAUCAAACCGGGAGAUAGCUGGUUCUCCCCGAAAGCUAUUUAGGUAGCGCCUCGUGAACUCAUCUUCGGGGGUAGAGCACUGUUUCGGCUAGGGGGUCAUCCCGACUUACCAACCCGAUGCAAACUACGAAUACCGAAGAAUGUUAUCACGGGAGACACACGGCGGGUGCUAACGUCCGUCGUGAAGAGGGAAACAACCCAGACCGCCAGCUAAGGUCCCAAAGUCAUGGUUAAGUGGGAAACGAUGUGGGAAGGCACAGACAGCCAGGAUGUUGGCUUAGAAGCAGCCAUCAUUUAAAGAAAGCGUAAUAGCUCACUGGUCGAGUCGGCCUGCGCGGAAGAUGUAACGGGGCUAAACCAUGCACCGAAGCUGCGGCAGCGACACUAUGUGUUGUUGGGUAGGGGAGCGUUCUGUAAGCCUGCGAAGGUGACCUGUGAGGGUUGCUGGAGGUAUCAGAAGUGCGAAUGCUGACAUAAGUAACGAUAAAGCGGGUGAAAAGCCCGCUCGCCGGAAGACCAAGGGUUCCUGUCCAACGUUAAUCGGGGCAGGGUGAGUCGACCCCUAAGGCGAGGCCGAAAGGCGUAGUCGAUGGGAAACAGGUUAAUAUUCCUGUACUUGGUGUUACUGCGAAGGGGGGACGGAGAAGGCUAUGUUAGCCGGGCGACGGUUGUCCCGGUUUAAGCAUGUAGGCUGGUUGUCCAGGCAAAUCCGGAUAAUCAAGGCUGAGGUGUGAUGACGAGGCACUACGGUGCUGAAGUAACAAAUGCCCUGCUUCCAGGAAAAGCCUCUAAGCAUCAGGUAACAUUAAAUCGUACCCCAAACCGACACAGGUGGUCAGGUAGAGAAUACCAAGGCGCUUGAGAGAACUCGGGUGAAGGAACUAGGCAAAAUGGUGCCGUAACUUCGGGAGAAGGCACGCUGGUGUGUAGGUGAAGUCCCUGCGGAUGGAGCUGAGACCAGUCGAAGAUACCAGCUGGCUGCAACUGUUUAUUAAAAACACAGCACUGUGCAAACACGAAAGUGGACGUAUACGGUGUGACGCCUGCCCGGUGCCGGAAGGUUAAUUGAUGGGGUUAUCCGUAAGGAGAAGCUCUUGAUCGAAGCCCCGGUAAACGGCGGCCGUAACUAUAACGGUCCUAAGGUAGCGAAAUUCCUUGUCGGGUAAGUUCCGACCUGCACGAAUGGCGUAAUGAUGGCCAGGCUGUCUCCACCCGAGACUCAGUGAAAUUGAACUCGCUGUGAAGAUGCAGUGUACCCGCGGCAAGACGGAAAGACCCCGUGAACCUUUACUAUAGCUUGACACUGAACAUUGAGCCUUGAUGUGUAGGAUAGGUGGGAGGCUUUGAAGCGUGGACGCCAGUCUGCGUGGAGCCAACCUUGAAAUACCACCCUUUAAUGUUUGAUGUUCUAACGUUGGCCCCUGACCGGGGUUGCGGACAGUGUCUGGUGGGUAGUUUGACUGGGGCGGUCUCCUCCCAAAGCGUAACGGAGGAGCACGAAGGUUAGCUAAUCCUGGUCGGACAUCAGGAGGUUAGUGCAAUGGCAUAAGCUAGCUUGACUGCGAGCGUGACGGCGCGAGCAGGUGCGAAAGCAGGUCAUAGUGAUCCGGUGGUUCUGAAUGGAAGGGCCAUCGCUCAACGGAUAAAAGGUACUCCGGGGAUAACAGGCUGAUACCGCCCAAGAGUUCAUAUCGACGGCGGUGUUUGGCACCUCGAUGUCGGCUCAUCACAUCCUGGGGCUGAAGUAGGUCCCAAGGGUAUGGCUGUUCGCCAUUUAAAGUGGUACGCGAGCUGGGUUUAGAACGUCGUGAGACAGUUCGGUCCCUAUCUGCCGUGGGCGCUGGAGAAUUGAGGGGGGCUGCUCCUAGUACGAGAGGACCGGAGUGGACGCAUCACUGGUGUUCGGGUUGUCAUGCCAAUGGCACUGCCCGGUAGCUAAAUGCGGAAGAGAUAAGUGCUGAAAGCAUCUAAGCACGAAACUUGCCCCGAGAUGAGUUCUCCCUGAGACUUUAAGUCUCCUGAAGGAACGUUGAAGACGACGACGUUGAUAGGCCGGGUGUGUAAGCGCAGCGAUGCGUUGAGCUAACCGGUACUAAUGAACCGUGAGGCUUAACCUU